UGCUGUCAUUUGACAAAUAAAACAUGGGAAAUCGACGGCAGACCUUGAAGACUUUUCAAACUUUGAAAAUAUAUGUUACGUUAUAAAUCUGUGGCAGGAUGACAUCUCAAGGUAGAAGGAAACAGUGCUUGUCUUUUCGGAUGAGGAAUCUGCCAAUUCCGAAAACGUGUGCAAUGGAGCUCACUCGUGCCCGCUGGAGGACCGUGGGGAACAUCUCAAACUCGGCAGGUGGGAGGGUCUUAAAUAGAGCUUUCAGCAUCGGCACAUUCUCGAGACCCCUACCGAGCCUUCAUUCUGCUUCCCAAUUACAGGAGGAAUUCUCAGGUGAGCCUUAAUGUCAAUAGAGCACAUUCUACAAACUGGCAAUUUGCUUGAUUAAAGGAAUAUUCCAGGUUCAAUUCAAGUUAAGAUCAAUCGAUAGCAUUUGUGGCAUAAUAUGGAUUUUCACAAAAAUUAAUUUAGACUCGUCCCUCCUUUAAAAAAAAAGAAGCUAAAAUCUGGGUUACAGUAAGGAACUUACAAUGGAAGUGAAUGGGGGUAGUUUUUGGAGGGUUUAAAAGGCAGAAAUGUGAAGCUUGUAAUUUUUAAAAGCACUUUAAUUCUUUAAAUUUCGUGUAUUAUUGGAGCUGCCUGUAAAGUUGCUCUUUUGAGGGUUUAUGGUGUUACGUCGUCAUGGCAAUGAAGUUGUCAAAUUGUACAUAACUUUACACAGAAAAGGCUAGUUAGCGAUUUUAUUACACUAAAAUUAUGUUAACCAAUGUUGUUUACUCGUCAUGGCUAUACUUUUGAAACAGUGAAUAUUUGAACGUUUACGAUUGGCGGCAUUUACUUGCAUCGUACGUACUUCAUUGUAAAGCAGAUUUUUGCUUUUUUUUUUUUUUAAAGAAAAGGAGGGAUGAGUCAAGGUUAAUUUUUAUGGUAAUAAUCAACAUUAUGCCACAAAUGCUGUCAGCUGAGCUUUAAUUGUAUUGAACCUGGAAUAUUUCUUUAACCUGAGCAAGCAUUUUAAAAAGUGCUGUUUUCAAAUGUUUAAUUUGUAUAAAUUUAAUAUAUAACAAUUUUCCUUUUUUUUACGGGCUUGUGGCCCCAAAUGCUUUUGGACACUUAACCAACAGUGAAAAUGUAUUACAUUUGUUAACAAAAUAUACAAUGGUAACAGGUCAGGGUGUUUUACUUUUUCUAUUGCCAUUGUUUUCAAUAAGGAUUCUCAUUACCAUAACACAGUCUGAAUUUUAGUAAUUUUGUUUUACUGUAUUACAGUAAAAAGCUGUUGUAAAUGUAUUUUAUUUUUUAAAUCAGAAAUCAAAUAAAAUGCUUACAAGGGGAGUUCUACUACAAUGUAUAAAUACUUUAUAAUUUAAAUAUCUUUUUUCACAUUGCGAUAAUGAAAAUUGGGGGUAAAAUGUGCAUAUCUGUCAUGUAAUCACAAUGUAAAGAAUCUUAACCCUUUCAUACGUACUGUCACACAUGUGAUGGUUAAUUAAUGGCCCCCUGCAGAGUAGCGUCACACGUGUAUUUCUGCAACAGCCAGUUAUGUUACAAGCUGCCAGAUUCAAAUCGGCUUUCGCACCGACACAGGCUGCACUGGUCAAGCACCUGUAAUUUAUAUUCGCUCAAACAGUUGCUCGUGCAGUCAUUUAAACCACAGAAUAAGUUAUAUAUUUAUAUACAUACAUGCAUCUCAUCACCAAAGUACCACAAUAAAAAGUUUACAGCUCUUAUACGCACGUUUACAGUCAAUACAUCAAACGCGAUCCUCCUCCGAUAUGUGCUGCCAUUUGUUUACAUUAGUAGCGGGUUGUCAUUUGUCAAACAAACAGCUACUUAAAGAGUCUUUUCAAGCACAUAAUCGGUUUAUUUUUUGCAACAAACUGCCAAAUUGUCACAAGUACCACAAUAACAUUUCACAGCUUGUAAAUGCAAAACCAUCAUAUCUAAACGUGAUCUUCCCAUGCAUACAGCCACAUCAGCUUAUAAGGUGCAGAUGCGGUUUUUAUUCACACAAACAGCAAUUCAAACAGUCUUUUCAGGUGUAUAAUAUGUUUGUUUUCUGAAAAAGACAGCCAAACUAUCACAAAAGCACCACGAUAGCAGUUUAAAACUCAUAUACUCACAGUGAAAACACUGAUGGAGUGUGAUUAUCUGAUGCACGCAAAGUCUGUUUACAUUAGCACUUGUCACUCUCUCUCUCUCACACACACAAUGUCUGAGAAGUCAAAUAGUGCAUACAGGCAAACUGGACUGAUGAUAUUAUUUGUUCAUUUGUUUUUUACAGCUAUAAAAACGAAAAAUUAAAAAAAUACAAUACUGCAGACAUAACCCAUUUGUUCAAAUGUUUACUAUAUUAUAUACAGUAUUUAGUUUUAUUUUUUUAAGAAAAA